UACGUAGGUGGCAAGCGUUGUCCGGAUUUACUGGGCGUAAAGAGCGCGCAGGCGGUCGUUCAAGUCGCGUGUGAAAGCCCCCGGCUCAACUGGGGAGGGUCACGCGAUACUGAUCGACUCGAAGGCAGGAGAGGGAAGUGGAAUUCCCGGUGUAGUGGUGAAAUGCGUAGAGAUCCGGAGGAACACCAGUGGCGAAGGCGGCCCCUGGGCCGCGCCUGACGCUGAGACGCGAAAGCGCGGGGAGCGAACGGG
rnacentral:rRNA from 1 species